UAGGGAAUCUUCCACAAUGGACGCAAGUCUGAUGGAGCAACGGCCGCGUGAGUGAAGAAGGCUUUCGGGUCGUAAAACUCUGUUAUUGAAGAAGAACGUGUGUGACAGUAACUGGUCAUGCAGUGACGGUAUUCAAUCAGAAAGUCACGGCUAACUACGUGCCAGCAGCCGCGGUAAUACGUAGGUGGCAAGCGUUGUCCGGAUUUAUUGGGCGUAAAGCGAGUGCAGGCGGUCUUUUAGUCUGUGUGAAAGCCUUCGGCUUAACCGAAGAAGGGCAUCG
rnacentral:rRNA from 1 species